ensembl:rRNA 5S_rRNA 5S ribosomal RNA
GCUUAUGGCCAUACCACCCUCAGCACGCCCGAUCUCGUCUGAUCUCGGAAGCUAGGCAGGUUGGGCUUGGUUAGUACUUGGAUGGGAGACCGCCUGGAAAACCAGGUGCUGUAAGCU